rnacentral:misc_RNA from 1 species
CUGGUGAUCUCUGUUAUCUUGGAGGAGAGUGGAGGCGAGAUGUUGCUUUUGCUGGGUUUGAAGUUCCCAUACAAAUGGAUGUUUCUGCAGAGAAAAUGAUAUUUGGUGUAGCAGGAAUUGAUCCUCAGAGAAGAGCUGAACUGAUCAAGGUAUUAGAUAUUGAUCUGUCGUGGAGGAUGCACAAGGUUUCUGAUGGUCAAAGAAGAAGAGUGCAAAUUUGCAUGGGUCUCCUUAGGCCAUUUAAGGUUCUUCUUCUUGAUGAGAUAACAGUUGACCUUGAUGUGCUGGCAAGGGCUGACCUUCUGAAGUUUCUAAGAAAGGAAUGUGAAGAAAGAGGUGCCACAAUAAUUUACGCAACACAUAUAUUUGAUGGGUUAGAGGAGUGGCCAACACAUAUUGUGUAUGUGGCUCAUGGGAAGUUACAGUUAGCAAUGCCAAUGGCAAAAGUCAAGGAGAUUAGUAAUUUAUCACUUAUGAGGACAGUAGAGAGCUGGCUGAGGAAAGAAAGAGAUGAGGAGAGGAAGAGAAGAAAAGAAAGAAAGGCAAGUGGUCUUCCAGAAUUUGAAAAACAAAUGGAGGGAAGUCGAGUUACUGGUGAUCCAGCUUCUGCUGCUGUUCGUGCUAUGAACAAUGGUUGGGCUGCUGGUAGACUGCACUCAACCAUUGCAGGUGAAGAGAACUUCUUCUUAAGCUCAAACAGAGUUUUGAGACAGUAGGCAAAAUCUUCUGAUAAAACAGUUAGUUCAAAAGGUCCCCGUUUGUUACACGUGAUCUCAAAUUGAUUCGCAUAUCCUUGAAAUAUAACUGGCAAGUGGCAAGUUAGUUCACAAGUUUUUCUGCAGCAAACAUUUGAAAAAGAAAAAUUAAUGCAAGCAACAGCUUGUAUCAUUGUAUUCAUUUAGUUAAAAUCCAUAUACAAUGGAUAAAUGAUUCAUUAUGAAUAAAUAAAGUUGCCAAUAUUUGAAGGGUUUUUUUCCCCUUG